rnacentral:rRNA from 1 species
AGUGAACGCUGGCGGUAGGCCUAACACAUGCGAGUCGAACGGCAGCACAGUAAGAGCUUGCUCUUACGGGUGGCGAGUGGCGGACGGGUGAGGAAUACAUCGGAAUCUACUUUUUCGUGGGGGAUAACGUAGGGAAACUUACGCUAAUACCGCAUACGACCUACGGGUGAAAGCAGGGGAUCUUCGGACCUUGCGUGAUUGAUUGAGCCGAUGUCGGAUUAGCUAGUUGGCGGGGUAAAGGCCCACCAAGGCGACGAUCCGUAGCUGGUCUGAGAGGAUGAUCAGCCACGCUGGAACUGAGACACGGUCCAGACUCCUACGGGAGGCAGCAGUGGGGAAUAUUGGACAAUGGGCGAAAGCCUGAUCCAGCCAUACCGCGUGGGUGAAGAAGGCCUUCGGGUUGUAAAGCCCUGUUGUUGGGAAAGAAAAGCAGCAGGUUAAUACCCCGCUGUUCUGACGGUACCCAAAGAAUAAGCACCGGCUAACUUCGUG